GACGAACGCUGGCGGCGUGCCUAAUACAUGCAAGUAGAACGCUGAAGGAGGAGCUUGCUCUUCUGGAUGAGUUGCGAACGGGUGAGUAACGCGUAGGUAACCUGCCUGGUAGCGGGGGAUAACUAUUGGCAACGAUAGCUAAUACCGCAUAAGAGUAGAUGUUGCAUGACAUUUACUUAAAAGGUGCAAUUGCAUCACUAAUAGAUGGAUCUGCGUUGUAUUAGCUAGUUGGUGGGGUAACGGCUUACCAAGGCGACGAUACAUAGCCGACCUGAGAGGGUGAUCGGCCACACUGGGACUGAGACACGGCCCAGACUCCUACGGGAGGCAGCAGUAGGGAAUCUUCGGCAAUGGACGGAAGUCUGACCGAGCAACGCCGCGUGAGUGAAGAAGGUUUUCGGAUCGUAAAGCUCUGUUGUAAGAGAAGAACGAGUGUGAGAGUGGAAAGUUCACACUGUGACGGUAUCUGACCAGAAAGGUACGGCUAACUACGUG
rnacentral:rRNA from 1 species